rnacentral:ncRNA from 1 species
CAAAGUUAGCAGACGAACUAUCUUGUCUUUGGCAAGAGAGUAUCUCUGUUAACACCACCAAGUAUUUGAGGAAAAAGGCUCUCGCUACGGAAUCCAGUGAGCCGAAAGCACCUGCCUGCACUUCUCCACAAAUUAUUGACUGUGUCGACUGUACUGGCAGCAGUUCCCCUCGGGAGCUUAAAAAUCUGACGAGUGAUGGAGAGGAAACAAUUGGAGAGGUCCGGGUAAACCCUAAGGCGUCAAAAUCUCCGGAAAUUCGAAAUGAGGUCAAUGACCUACUUAUUCAAAAUUCAAAUUUGAAUUUGAAAAAUGUAUGUUACAGUACCCCCAUUUCGGAAAAUCAGGAGUAUACUGUAGAUAAAUUAGAUAAUUUUAAUUCUGGUCUUAUUAGCGCUUUGGAGGACUCACUCACCUCCAACAAUACUGAGAUGGAGGGGUUAAUUAAUUUUUUAAUUAAAAAAUACUUAAGUCUAGUGACGAGGAUCGUAAACACUACACAGACGGAGUUGCCAGUGUCCUUGCCGCACUUCUGCGUCCGAACUGCGAUGGUCGUAAUCCCCCUGCCCCUACUAACCGGCGUAAGCGCCUUCCGCCACCUGCGAGAAAGCGCAGCGAACGGAAGCGUAGUAACUACGCGUCAUUCCAAUCGCUCUUCAGGCGAGACCCCAAACGAAUUGCGGCCCACCUUAUUAAAAACCAGCCCCUUUGCAAUGUGAGCUGUCCUAUCGACGUCGCUGAGUCCGCUCUGCGACAGCGAUUAAGUCAGCGCCCUUCACAUCGAAACGCCCACCCAGCUCUGAAAACAUUCUGUCCCCCAUAUCAGCAGACGAGCCCAUACCACGCUGCACCUCAAACUUAUGUCUACAAAAACGUCGUAAGGCCUCGACGGAGUUCAGGUGUCACUACGAAAAUGUGUCCCGGUGUUCCUUGCGAAGGCCCUUUACUGCUUUCUCCUUGCAAGGGACAUUCCCCCACAACUCAAGAAUUGUCGCACCACCUACAUCCCUAAAACUGACAAUCCCCGCCCCGACGCUGAAGAUUACCGGCCCAUAACUAUCGCUUCAUGCAUAUACCGGCAGUUCAGCGAGAUUGUAACGAGGCGGCUCGAAAAUUCUGUUACAAUCGUAACAAGCUUGCUGUAGAUAAAAAAAUUAAAAAAAUGCCUUGCAUGUCUGCCUGCAUGCCGCCUGAGAACUCCCGCUAGGGGGAGGAGGCCAACGUCUAUUUUUAGGAACUCGAUGGGGAAUCGUGUGUGGACCAACAUGGCAACCGACGAAGUUGGACCGAAUUGGAUGGAACGCGUCCAAGAGCUGACGUCGACCAACCGCAUGGGAAGAAAGCCGCGCUGCGGAUGGAGAUCCACAACCGAGCCCUAAGCGAACAACACAAGUCGGGAGAAGACGACUAAAGAUAACGGCUCAAUCAGAGCCGCCCCCGUGAACCCGGCCCUCAUUACUGUUCCCACUAUACACUCCCCAUGAGAAUCCUUCCUCCUUACACAUUGUUAAAAUCGGUACCGGCCGUUAUCUGGCUGCUCUGCAUCAUUUAUUAUGUAUAUAUACAAUUGUUGUUAUUCUACUGUAUUUAUUCAAUAAAACACCAUUCAUGCGCGUCACUAUUAGACUGACGGAAGCCGGCGCUCUUCGGAGUGUCCUGCAAAUUCCGAAUGUAGCCAAAUGCCCCGUCAUCUAAUUAGUGACGCGUAUGAAUGGAUCAACAAGAUUCCUUCUGUCCCUAUCUACUAUCUAGCGUAACCACAGCCAAGGGAACGGGCUUGGCAAAAUCAGCGGGGAAAGAAGACCCUGUUGAGCUUGACUCUAGUCUGACUCUGUGAAGAGACAUGAAAGGUGUAGCAUAGGUGGGAGAUUGUCAAAUUGCCAUCGUUCGCGCGGUGGUCCGGUGAUCACCAAUGAAAUACCACUACUUUGAUCGUUUCUUUACUUAUUCGGUAAAGCGAAAAAAUUAUGGCCAAUUUGGCGGUGUUUAUGUCGCUGUUGGUCAUUGUUUUCAUGUUAGAUUGAAGCUUUGUUUACAGCCGUCGCUUUGUGUCGCCAUUUGACGCAUUGUUGUACUGGGUUAUCCCGGUGUGUGGUGUAGUCAGUAUGGAUGAUCGGCGAUAGGUUUGAAGUGAUUCGCUCCGGAAACAGUGUCAGACGGGGAGUUUGACUGGGGCGGUACAUCUGUUAAACGAUAACGCAGGUGUCCUAAGGUAAGCUCAGCGAGGACAGAAACCUCGCUUAGAGUAAACGGGCACAAGCUUACUUGAUUUUGAUUUCCAGUACGAAUAGAAACCGCGAAAGCGUGGCCUAUCGAUCCUUUUGAUUGUGUAGAUUUCAUGCAAGAGGUGUCAGAAAAGUUACCACAGGGAUAACUGGCUUGUGGCAGCCAAGCGUCCAUAGCGACGUUGCUUUUUGAUCCUUCGAUGUCGGCUCUUCCUAUCAUUGCGAAGCAGAAUUCGCCAAGCGUUGGAUUGUUCACCCACCAAUAGGGAACGUGAGCUGGGUUUAGACCGUCGUGAGACAGGUUAGUUUUACCCUACUGAUGACAAGUCGUUGCGAUAGUAAUCCUGCUCAGUACGAGAGGAACCGCGGGAUCAGACAUUUGGUUCAUGCGCUCGGCUGAAAGGCCGGUGGCGCGAAGCUAGCAUCUGCAAGAUUAUGACUGAACGCCUCUAAGUCAGAAUCUUUUCUAGUCAUUGGCAACGAUAAGUUGCGUCCAGACUCGAUGCGAGGAAACGAUUAGGCUUUGCUAUACGGCGAAGCCAUUAUCAGACCACGGUAGCAGGCAGUAUGGGAUUGUUACGAAAAAGCAAUUUUUUGAAGUCAGUUGAAUUCAAUCAAACUGCUAACAAUUCCACUGCGAAUGACUCCAUUCGAAUCAAUCGAAGCACAGCGGUCAGGAUGUCGAACAUUUUGCAGACGACAAAAAUACCGGUACAGGUGUCGUAAUCAGUAGAGCAGUCAACACACUGCGAUCUGAUGAGACUCAUCCUUGUAAUCGAUUUGCUCGU